UACGUAGGGGGCAAGCGUUGUCCGGAUUUAUUGGGCGUAAAGAGCGUGUAGGCGGCCAGGUAGGUCUGCUGUGAAAACUCGAGGCUCAACCUCGAGACGUCGGCGGAAACCAUCUGGCUAGAGUCCGGAAGAGGAGAGCGGAAUUCCUGGUGUAGCGGUGAAAUGCGCAGAUAUCAGGAAGAACACCCGUGGCGAAGGCGGCUCUCUGGGACGGUACUGACGCUGAGACGCGAAAGCGUGGGGGAGCGAACAGG
rnacentral:rRNA from 1 species